UGCAGCUUGUGCUUUAGUACAAGAACAAUUAAAGUUGGGACAUAUAAAGCCCUCCACUUCUCCAUGGAAUACACCCAUAUUUAUUAUUAAAAAGAAGUCUGGAAAAUGGUGGUUGUUACAUGAUCUACGGGCCAUUAAUGCUCAAAUGCAGCUCAUGGGACCCAUUCAGAGAGGUUUGCCUUUGCUUUCAACAAUUCCAAAAAAUUGGCCAGUGAUAUGUAUAGACAUUAAAGAUUGUUUCUUUUCCAUUCCAUUGCAUCCUCAGGACUCCGAGCGUUUUGCUUUUAC
rnacentral:ncRNA from 1 species